rnacentral:rRNA from 1 species
CCUACGGGGGGCAGCAGUGGGGAAUAUUGCACAAUGGGGGAAACCCUGAUGCAGCGACGCCGCGUGAGUGAAGAAGUAUUUCGGUAUGUAAAGCUCUAUCAGCAGGGAAGAAACCCACCCUCCGGGGUGGCUGACGGUACCUGACUAAGAAGCCCCGGCUAACUACGUGCCAGCAGCCGCGGUAAUACGUAGGGGGCAAGCGUUAUCCGGAUUUACUGGGUGGAAAGGGAGCGUAGGUGGCAAGGCAAGUCAGAUGUGAAAACCCGGGGCCCAACCCCGGGAGUGCAUUUGAAACUGUCUGGCUAGAGUGCAGGAGAGGUAAGUGGAAUUCCUGGUGUAGCGGUGAAAUGCUUAGAUAUCACGAAGAACUCCGAUUGCGAAGGCAGUUCACUGGACUGCAACUGACACUGAGGCUCGAAAGUGUGGGUAUCAAACAGGAUUAGAUACCCGGGUAGUC